rnacentral:rRNA from 1 species
AAAGGNUCAUUAAWUCAGUUAUGGUUCCUUAGAUUGUACCCACGUUACUUGGAUAACUGKGGUAAUUCUARAGCUAAUACAUGCCGACAGAGUUCCAACCAAGUGCGCGGCUUCGGCCGUUGCAUUUAGGAAGGAACGCUUUUAUUANAUCAAAACCGGCUAAKCGGCGGARACCUCGCGUCCCCGUCGUUAGNGGCCUGCGCAAAGAUUUGGUGACUCUGAAUAACUUCGAGYUGAUCGCACGGKCUCGUACCGGCGACGUAUCUUUCAAAUGUCUGCCUUAUCAACUGUCGACGGUAGGUUCGACGCCUACCGUGGUGGUAACGGGUAACGGGGAAUCAGGGUUCGAUUCCGGAGAGGGAGCCUGAGAAACGGCUACCACAUCCAAGGAAGGCAGCAGGCGCGCAAAUUACCCACUCCCAGCUCGGGGAGGUAGUGNYGAAAAAUAACGAU